CCUGGCGGCCGUAGCGCGGUGGUCUCACCUGACCCCAUGCCGAACUCAGAAGUGAAACGCCGUAGCGCCGAUGGUAGUGUGGGGUCUCCCCAUGCGAGAGUAGGGAACUGCCAGGC
rnacentral:rRNA from 1 species